rnacentral:rRNA from 1 species
AACGAACGCUAGCGGCAGGCUUAACACAUGCAAGUCGAGGGGUAUAGUUCUUCGGAACUAGUGACCGGCGCACGGGUGCGUAACGCGUAUGCAAUCUACCUUUUGCAGAGGGAUAGCCCAGAGAAAUUUGGAUUAAUACCUCAUAGUAUGUGAGAAUGGCAUCAUUUUCACAUUAAAGUCACAACGGCAAAAGAUGAGCAUGCGUCCCAUUAGCUUGUUGGUAAGGUAACGGCUUACCAAGGCAACGAUGGGUAGGGGUCCUGAGAGGGAGAUCCCCCCACACUGGUACUGAGACACGGACCAGACUCCUACGGGAGGCAGCAGUGAGGAAUAUUGGACAAUGGGCGCAAGCCUGAUCCAGCCAUGCCGCGUGCAGGAUGACGGUCCUAUGGAUUGUAAACUGCUUUUGUACAGGAAGAAACACUGGUUCGUGAACCAGCUUGACGGUACUGUAAGAAUAAGGAUCGGCUAACUCCGUGCCAGCAGCCGCGGUAA